rnacentral:rRNA from 1 species
UACGUAGGGUGCAAGCGUUAAUCGGAAUUACUGGGCGUAAAGCGUGCGCAGGCGGUUUUGUAAGUCUGUCGUGAAAUCCCCGGGCUUAACCUGGGAAUGGCGAUGGAGACUGCAAGGCUAGAAUCUGGCAGAGGGGGGUAGAAUUCCACGUGUAGCAGUGAAAUGCGUAGAGAUGUGGAGGAACACCGAUGGCGCAAGGGCAGCCCCCUGGGACUAAGAGUUGACGGA